rnacentral:rRNA from 1 species
ACUCCUACGGGAGGCAGCAGUGGGGAAUAUUGCACAAUGGGGAAAGCCCUGAUGCAGCCAUGCCGCGUGUGUGAAGAAGGCCUUCGGGUUGUAAAGCACUUUCAGUAGGGAGGAAGUAUGUAGUAACACCUGCAUUAUUGACGUUACCUACAGAAGAAGCACCGGCUAACUCCGUGCCAGCAGCCGCGGUAAUACGGAGGGUGCGAGCGUUAAUCGGAAUUACUGGGCGUAAAGCGCAUGCAGGCGGCCUGUUAAGUCAGAUGUGAAAAGCCCGGGGCUUAACCUCGGAAUUGCAUUUGAAAACUGGCAGACUAGAGUACUGUAGAGGGGGGUAGAAUUUCAGGUGUAGCGGUGAAAAUGCGUAGAGAUCUGAAGG